rnacentral:rRNA from 1 species
AAGCGCGCGCUAGGUGGUUCGUUAAGUUUGGAUGUGAAAUCCCCGCGGCUCAACCUGGGAACUGCAUUCAAAACUGACGAGCUAGAGUAUGGUAGAGGGUGGUGGAAUUUCCUGUGUAGCGGUGAAAUGCGUAGAUAUAGGAAGGAACACCAGUGGCGAAGGCGACCACCUGGACUGAUACUGACACUGAGGUGCGAAAGCGUGGGGAGCAAACAGGAUUAGAUACCCCUGGGUAGUCCAGGU